UACGUAGGGGGCAAGCGUUGUCCGGAAUCAUUGGGCGUAAAGAGCGUGUAGGCGGCCCGGUAAGUCCGCUGUGAAAGUCCAGGGCUCAACCCUGGAAAGCCGGUGGAUACUGUCGGGCUAGAGUCCGGAAGAGGCGAGUGGAAUUCCUGGUGUAGCGGUGGAAUGCGCAGAUAUCAGGAGGAACACCGAUGGCGAAGGCAGCUCGCUGGGACGGUACUGACGCUGAGGCGCGAAAGCGUGGGGAGCGAACAGG
rnacentral:rRNA from 1 species